UACGUAGGGGGCAAGCGUUGUCCGGAUUCACUGGGUUUAAAGGGUGCGUAGGCGGGUUGGUAAGUCCGUGGUGAAAUCUCCGAGCUUAACUCGGAAACUGCCGUGGAUACUAUCAAUCUUGAAUACUGUGGAGGUAAGCGGAAUAUGUCAUGUAGCGGUGAAAUGCUUAGAUAUGACAUAGAACAUCGAUAGCGGAGGCAGCUUGCUACACAGUCAUUGACACUGAGGCAGGAAAGCGUGGGGAUCAAACAGG
rnacentral:rRNA from 1 species